rnacentral:rRNA from 1 species
AUGGCAGAAUCCUCCGCCGAGCUCAAAUCCAUGAUCCAGGCCCUUCUGACGAAGUUUGACGACAGCAAGAGCGCAGGCGAGAAGCAACUCGAGGCGCAGCUUGCGUUCAACACGCAAGUCUCGUCAGAUCUGGCGCAUCUUCGCAAGCAGUUGGAUCUCACGCAGGCGGACGUCGACGACGUGCGGCAACACCGCGAUCCGCCACCAUCUCCGACCGCGGGGACACGCCCUCGACAGCCAGCUCACGGCGCACAAGACGGCAAGCCGCAGGGGUCGUCGGUCACGUCGCUGGAGCAACCGCACGGGCCCCUUCCGUACGGUCCUCCGCCUCGUCUCAGCAACGGGGGGCCGCCACUGCUGCCCACGCGGGGCGUUCCGCUGUUCGCGGGCACGGGCCAGACAGCGGCGCACGUGCCAGCGCGGCGUCCACAACGACCACGGGCAGGAGUACGCCGUCAAGCCGCCCAAGCAUGA